UGUGUGUGUGUGUGUGUGUGUGAGUGAGUCUGUGUGUGUGUGUGCGUGUGGGACUGUGUGUAAACGUAGCCUCUGAUACCACCCAAGGUUUCCUUUUAUCUCUCUGAAGCAGGGUGAGAGGGACCAGAACAUCCUCUGCCUCUAAAAAUAUGUGUAACUGACUGUACUAAUAUUCUGUGGUAUUUAAGAAAAUAAACUGUUGCGGUAACUUCUGAAGUUCUCCUCUUUUUUU